rnacentral:rRNA from 1 species
GUGGGGAAUAUUGGACAAUGGGCGAAAGCCUGAUCCAGCCAUGCCGCGUGUGUGAAGAAGGUCUUCGGAUUGUAAAGCACUUUAAGUUGGGAGGAAGGGCAGUAAGUUAAUACCUUGCUGUUUUGACGUUACCAACAGAAUAAGCACCGGCUAACUUCGUGCCAGCAGCCGCGGUAAUACGAAGGGUGCAAGCGUUAAUCGGAAUUACUGGGCGUAAAGCGCGCGUAGGUGGUUCAGCAAGUUGGAGGUGAAAUCCCCGGGCUCAACCUGGGAACUGCCUCCAAAACUACUGAGCUAGAGUACGGUAGAGGGUAGUGGAAUUUCCUGUGUAGCGGUGAAAUGCGUAGAUAUAGGAAGGAACACCAGUGGCGAAGGCGACUACCUGGACUGAUACUGACACUGAGGUGCGAAAGCGUGGGGAGCAAACAGGAUUAGAAACCCUAGUAGUCC